rnacentral:rRNA from 1 species
AGUUUGAUCCUGGCUCAGAUUGAACGCUGGCGGUAGGCCUAACACAUGCAAGUCGAACGGUAACAGAAAGUAGCUUGCUACUUUGCUGACGAGUGGCGGACGGGUGAGUAAUGUCUGGGGAUCUGCCUGAUGGAGGGGGAUAACUACUGGAAACGGUAGCUAAUACCGCAUAAUGUCGCAAGACCAAAGCGGGGGACUUUCGGGCCUCGCACCAUCAGAUGAACCCAGAUGGGAUUAGCUAGUAGGUAGGGUAAUGGCUUACCUAGGCGACGAUCCCUAGCUGGUCUGAGAGGAUGACCAGCCACACUGGAACUGAGACACGGUCCAGACUCCUACGGGAGGCAGCAGUGGGGAAUAUUGCACAAUGGGCGCAAGCCUGAUGCAGCCAUGCCGCGUGUAUGAAGAAGGCCUUCGGGUUGUAAAGUACUUUCAGUCAGGAGGAAGGGUGUGAAAUUAAUACUUUCAUGCAUUGACGUUACUGACAGAAGAAGCACCGGCUAACUCCGUGCCAGCAGCCGCGGUAA